GGCUACACACGUGCUACAAUGGGUAGUACAGAGAGUCGCAAAGCCGUGAGGUGGAGCUAAUCUCAGAAAACUAUUCUUAGUUCGGAUUGUACUCUGCAACUCGAGUACAUAAAGUUGGAAUCGCUAGUAAUCGCGAAUCAGCAAUGUCGCGGUGAAUACGUUCUCGGGUCUUGUACACACCGCCCGUCACACCACGAGAGUUGGUUGCACCUGAAGUAGCAGGCCUAACCGCAAGGAGGGAUGCUCCGAGGGUGUGAUUAGCGAUUGGGGUGAAGUCGUAACAAGGUAUCCGUACGGGAACGU
rnacentral:rRNA from 1 species